UACGUAGGGUGCAAGCGUUAUCCGGAAUUAUUGGGCGUAAAGAGCUCGUAGGCGGUUUGUCGCGUCUGCUGUGAAAACUGGAGGCUCAACCUCCAGCCUGCAGUGGGUACGGGCAGACUAGAGUGGCGGUAGGGGAGAUUGGAAUCCUGGUGGAGCGGUGAAAUGCGUAGAGAUCGGAAGAACAGCCAACGGCGAAAGCACGUCUGCUGGGCCGAUACUGACACUGAGAGACGAAAGCGUAGGG
rnacentral:rRNA from 1 species